AACGGGUUUUAUUUUGUAGCAUACAGAAUAAAAUUAGUGGCGAACGAGCGAGUAACGCGUACUUAACCUGCCCUCGAGUUGAGAACAACUACGGAGACGUAGCUAAUUCUCAAUAUGCUCACGAUGGUGAAAGACCAAUGUGAGGAAAGAUUUAUCACUCGAGGAGGGGGGUGCGUCCUAUCAGGUAGUUGGUGGGGUAAUAGCCUACCAAGCCUAUGACGGGUAGCCGGUCUGAGAGGAUGUCCGGCCGCGAUGGAACUGGGAUACGGUCCAUACUCCUACGGGAGGCAGCAGUGGGGAAUUUUGCACAAUGGACGCAAGUCUGAUGCAGCGAUUCCGCGUGGAGGAUGACGCAUUACGGUGUGUAAACUCCUUUUCUGGUGGAAGACGAAUGACGGUACACCAGGAAUAAGAGACGGCUAACUACGUG
rnacentral:rRNA from 1 species